rnacentral:lncRNA from 1 species
UCACGGGGUCAAAGGGCACCACGGGGAUAGAUGGUGACGUGAAAAGGAAACCGAGCGCUUUUUACAGCGGCCCCUGGCGGUAGGAGGACUCUAGGCUCUACCGCCGGGUAGAGUGAUCCGGAAGGGGACUUCGGCAGGAGUAAGCCCUUACUUCAUUCGUCAUUAAACAAAUAUUCAUUUAGAGCCUACUAGUGCCAGGCAUUGUUUUAGGCCCUUAAGGUAUAUUAGUAACAACAUUAACAAAAAUCCUUGCUCUCCAGAAAUUUGUACUGUGGUAGUAAUUAUUCUGUUUAUUAAUUUUGCAAGGUUACAACUGGAGUUGUGGUGAACAGGCAUGGAUUCAACUUCAUGUGUGUGCGCGUGUGUGUUUGUGUUUUCAGGCUGAGGGAAGAAGGCGGAGUGCCAAGAGAGGGACGCCAAGUGGCUCUUUUAGGAUUGCCGUGUAUCUGUUCUGAUUUGCCACUGUCCUCGGGUGAGGAAGUGAAGCUUAAGGUCUUCAGUUUCUCAGGACAGAUAUGUGUGGAGAGAACUCACCAGACUGGGAAGUUACUGACCUGGGAACUUCUCUCAGCAGCACUUAUCAUCUCUGCCUUAGUAUUUAUAAGAAUUUCAUUUUGGGGGACGCCUAGGUGGCUCAGUUGGCUAAGUGUCUGCCUUCGGCUCAGGUCAUGAUCUUGGGGUCCUGGGGUGGGCUCUCUGCUCAGCGGGGAGGCUGCUUCUCCCUCUCCUUCUGCCCUUCC